rnacentral:rRNA from 1 species
AAUAGAUACCCGGGUAGUCCACGCCGUAAACGAUGGAUGCUAGCUAUUGGGGGGAAUCGACCCCCUCCGAAGCGAAGCUAACGCAUUAAGCAUCCCGCCUGAGUAGUACGAGCGCAAGCUUAAAACUCAAAGGAAUUGACGGGGACCCGCACAAGCGGUGGAGCGUGUGGUUUAAUUCGAUGGUAAACGAAGAACCUUACCAAGGUUUGACAUCCCGGUAGCCGUUCUCCGAAAGGAGAAUUUCAUUUAGUUGGACCGGUGACAGGUGAUGCAUGGCCGUCGUCAGCUCGUGUCGUGAGAUGUUGGGUUAAGUCCCGCAACGAGCGCAACCCUUAUGAUUUAGUUGGAUUUUUCUAAACAGACUGCCCUGGUAACAGGGAGGAGGGAGGGGAUGAUGUCAGGUCAGUAUUUCCCUUACACCUUGGGCGACACACGCGCUACAAUGGCCGGUACAAUGGGCAGCUAAGCCGCGAGGUGGAGCAAAUCCCAUCAAAGCCGGUCCCAGUUCGGAUUGCAGGCUGAAACCCGCCUGCAUGAAGCCGGAAUCGCUAGUAACC